UACGUAGGGGGCCAGCGUUGCUCGGAAUUACUGGGCGUAAAGGGUUCGUAGGCGGUGCGGCAAGUUGGGAGUGAAAUCUCUGGGCUUAACUCAGGGGCUGCCUUCAAAACUGCCGCGCUCGAGUGCGAGAGAGGUCAGUGGAAUUGCAGGUGUAGCGGUGAAAUGCGUAGAUAUCUGCAGGGACACCCGUGGCGAAGGCGGCUGACUGGAUCGCAACUGACGCUGAGGAACGAAAGCUAGGGGAGCAAACAGG
rnacentral:rRNA from 1 species